rnacentral:lncRNA from 1 species
GACAGCCAGUGAGGUCACACUUGGACAAUAGUGCAGGCAGGGCUUCCAGUAAAUCACGAAAGAAAUCACUCUACCAGUACCUCAUAAUUGCUCUUUUCUUCCUUACUAUGCUUCAUUAGCAGGCAUCUGGUCACAGAGAAGGAACUAAUCUGUGAGGCGAUUACAGCUAUGUAUGAGCUCUGUCCAACACAAUCAGCACCUCAGGGCUGGGAAGAUGGCGACUGCAUUGCUGCCACGCUGCCAAGCUGAGUCCCAUCUGCAGGUCCACAGGGUAGAAAGAAAGACUGACUCCCACAAGCUGUCCUCUCACCUCUUUGGCUGGGGCAAAUAAAAAUAAUGGUAAAGA